CACCUCAGCCUCCCAAAGUGCUGGGAUUAUAGGUGUGAGCCAUGGUGGCCAUCCUGGCUCAACUUUUAUGUAACAAAGUUGUGAGUUGUUUUUCAGUUGCCGCGGUCCUCAGGUUGAAUUUGAAGGUCAUUUAACCUGACUAUGUCCAGAUGAACCAGGUAUGCAGCUCACAACUAGUUGCUGUAAAACAGCUUACCCCUGCCUGGCGUGGUGGUUCACACCUAUAAUCUCAGCACUUUGGGAGGCCGAGGUGGGUGGAUUACCUGAGGUCGGGAGUUUGAGACCAGCCUGACCAACAUGGAGAAACCUUGUCUCUACUAAAAAUACAAAAUUAGCCAGGCAUGGUGGCACAUGCCUGUAAUCCCAGCUACUAGGGAGGCUGAGGCAGGAGAAUCGCUUGAAUCUGAGAGGCGGAGAUUGUGGUGAGUUGAGAUCAUGCCAUUGCACUCCAGCCUGGGCAACAAGAGCGAUACUCCAUCUCAAAACCCAAACCCAAACCAAAAAAAAAAAAAAACAGCCUACCCCCUUCCAUCAGCUCUAAUCAAUAACUCACAUCUGUUCCCUUGGUUACCUGCAACCAUUGUUCCCCUAAAACUGCAUGUCUCACACUCUUCACCACUGUACCUCAUGCCCACCUUCCCUUCCAUAUUUAGAACAAUAUUUACAAAUAGCCAAUCAGGUCAGCUCAGAUUGUGUAGUCUGACCCCAGCCCAUGGGGGAGUGACAUAGAGGUAAGGACUAUGUGUCAGAGAUAAAAAAAAACCCUUGCUCUCCUUUGUUUGAUGUGCUCUUACGAUCUUGAUUGAUGUGACUGGCACACUUCUGCAGAAGUAAAUUGCCUUGCUGAGAAAACUUUUGUCUGAGUGCUCGUUUCACUUUGUGGCACCAAGCAUUUAUUCCUAGAGCAUUUUUGCAUCCAACAUUUCUGGGGGUUCCUCUGGGAUCCCCUUUCUCCUUUGGGAAGGGGUCUUUGGUCACCCCACCCAGGGGAGAUGUGUCCCACUGCCCCGUUGUGGUGGCCUCAGGGAUGGAAGGUCGAGACCCACCCGUUUGGACGAAUAAACCCGGACUCCCAGCAAUGUGGGGAGGAAAGGCUUGCAAUACUGCGGUGACCAGGUAAACUCUGUGCAUAGACCAAGGUAGGAAAUGUCACAGGGGUGACAAAGUACUUCCUUGGUGGUCGGGGGAGGUCAGGGCAUUCUGGAGGUUGAAAGUGUGAACAAGCACUACUGCUGUGUGGAGUGAGUGAGUCUAAUCUGCGGUUCUGUGGUCACCUCAUAUGGCUUAGGGUGGCCCUCCAGGGGUCCCCUCAGGGGUUUAUACUGACCUGCCUUAAUGCUAAGAGGGACCUGAAAUAUUCCUGCAAGGGAAGUGGCCAGAGUGGACAAAGUGAAAGAAGGAUGCAAGGAGCUUUCAUCAGGUGGGGUUAAAGGAUAGGCAAGACAUCUCUAAUAUGUGAGAAUUGAGCCUUAGUAAAGCUUCCAGUGAAGGAUAAGCAAGAUACCCCCUAAUAUGAGGAGCUGAGCCAUAGGGAACCCCCAAAAUUGGCAAGAAAUCCUUAAUAUGAAGGGUUGAGCCACAGCAAGCCUCUGCUAGGCAAGAAAUUCCUAAUACAAGGGAUUGCACCUAGCCAAGACCCAAUAUGGGAAAUAUUACAAGCAAAAAGGAUAAGAAUCUUAACAAAGAUAUACCACCUGAUAGUCCCUAGAUCUCAUGAGAAAAAAAUAAGAAUAGUAACAAAGAUAUACCACCUGAUAGCCCCUUAGGUCUCAUGCUAAAAUGUUGGAAAGGUAAGAACUAGACAUAAGAAAAAGCGACAAAUGAUAAAAUACUGCUGUUCUAUUUGGACUCAAAGACCUAUCCUUAAUGCCUCAAUCUUCUGGCCAAAGUUUGGGUUGACUGAGGAUAUACUAUGUCAACUUUUAAUUCAACAUGCGAAUAAUAAAAGCCCAGUUUCUAAAGAAGAACUGGACUAUGCUCUUUGUUGGAGCAUAAGACCUCUUUGUUGGAGGCAAAGACCAUCAGGGGUCUUUUCCCUUAUGCACCUGCCCCUACUGUAAAGACAGUGAAGAAAGGAGCUCAGGGGAUCCUGGCAAAGAGAACAGCACACAGGAUCCCCUAGACCAUCCUCCACCUAAUAUCCCCAAACCUUCCCCUAGUCCCCCACCUAGUAUCCCCUACCCUUCCCCUCAGGCCCUGCAUAAGUCCCCUUCCCUGAAAGGACACCAAGCUCCUGAUUCGCCAGAUGGCUUUUGCUGGGCUAGCAACAUCAAAGAUCCGCCACAACAUGUUGUUGGCAUUAUCCGGCUCAUAGUGCCCCCGCCAUGAGAGGCAAAGCCCAUGCUCCUGCCCCCCGGCUGGCCCAGAGUCCCAGCACCGUAUCGACAGUGGCUCUGUGGGACACGCGGGCCAGGCCACAGCCUAUGCCCCAAGCAGACACCUGCCUUACUUUUGCCAGGGCCAAGUAGUACAGGGCUUCAGCCAUAGCUCCAAGCAACUAGGCAUCCCUGCAGCUAAGUUUCCUAAGCAAGUAAUAGAUAAUCUUUCAGCUGAUAUAUCCACUAGCAUUUAUUGUGGUCAGGCCAGUGUUAAAGGUAAAAAUAGCCACUAGAAAAGAAAUUUGAUUCUCUAAAGUCACUUGUAUUAAAAUGUACCACCAGAAAAGUAUUACAUGUGUAUAAGUAUGAGGCUCUUCUGUUAAAAAGGAUGAUCUAACAUUAGCUCCUGAUAAUUCACUUAACCUAGCAGGUUUCUUAACAAGAGAUCCAAAUCUAAAAAGAAAGCACACAUGUUUAGAUUUAACUAAUUACCAUACAAACAUCUGGUCAAACUUAAGAGAAACCUGCUUCGAGAGUGAUUAAGGGAUAAAGGACACAACGGGUGUUCAGUAAUGAAUAGAGAAGUUCCUAGAGAAAUAAAGUGAAAAAAAUUGUUUAAUAAUUAGUCCACCCAAAUUUGUAAGCUGUUUGCACUUAGUCAAGCUUUAAAGUACCUGCAGGACCAGAAAAAGGAACCAUCUAUAGUGAUCUAUACUGAUUCUAAAUACGCCUUUACAGUAGCUCCUACAUUUAGAAAAUUUCAAACUGAAUUAAUAGUAUAGGUUAAAGCCUUGUUCAUGAGGAGUUAAUCACCCAAGUGUUAAAUAACCGGUUACUGGAAAAGAAGAAAUAGCUAUUGUCCAUGUCCCCAGGCACCAGAAAAGCCUGUCUUUCAAAAUAACCUAGCAAAUAAGAUAAGUGGAACAGGCUGCCGUUUCUCCUAUAGGCACUAAAGAGAACUCAGAGAAGUGUUAUUCAAACCUUUUAUGAAGGAAGUCCUAUCCCACCUAUAUUGGGGGACUCAUUAAAGACCCCAAGCUAUGUAUAGCACAAAGUUUAAUUUAUACCCUUAGCCAAGUUUGCCAUAGAUCAAAUGUCUUCUAUCCUCCUAUUCCCCUAGUAAGAAUGCAAACUACCUCUCAAAACAAUCCACUGACAACAUUCCUACAUACUUGGCUUAUUUUCCACUUUCUCUUCCUUCACAGCUUAAAAUUUUCCAGUACAGGCGCUGCCCCUAGAGUUCCCAGUACAUCAACACCAGCCUGAGGAGCCGGCCUAGUUCUUCUAACCACUGAAACUGCCGUCCAAACAGCAAGGAAAGAUGGAGCCGUCACACCUGAGUCAAGAAAGCACUGCCAACCCUGAAGUCGUGGGCCAUUAUCCAAGGGAAAAACCCCCUCAAACUAAGAAAAAUAUUUGCAAAUCGCCAAUCGGAUCAGCUCAGAUUGUGCAGUCCAACCCCAGCCUAUUGGAGUGACACAGAGCCCCCAUGGCCUGGUGUUGGGCCUGAUCACCCCAACAUGUACACUGUGUGUACAGAUGUCAAAAAGGAGAGGUGGCAUAGGAGUAACGACCUGGAGCGGACUGCUGUAUGCUAUAGGGGAACACAAUGCUCUCGCAUCCAACUUGACUUCCAGACUCUCUGACCAUGUGGAGACAUCUGAUCCCAAAACAGAUAUGUGGACUACAGUAGAAUCAGUAAGCAUCAGCAGAGAUGCAGUGGGGGUCUGUUUACUUGGUGAUAAGUUAUAUGCCAUUGGGAGGUAUGAUGGACAAGCAUACCUGAAUACGGUGGAGGCUUAUGGUCCCCAGACCAAUGAGUGGACCCAGGUUGCUCCACUGUGCCUAGGAAGAGCUGAAGCUUGUGUUGCGACUGUAAAAUUAUAAUUUAGUGCUCUGUUUUCUACAUGAAGAUACUCUUCCUUUAUUAAUUUAGUACAGUUAUUCUACUAUCAAUGGAUACAUUUUUAGUAAACAUGCAUUGCCACAAUCCUGGGCACAAAGUGCCUGAUCUCAAAGCGAAGAUGGUAAAAUCAGGGAGGAAGGAGUGGAUGGACCAGGAUUAAUUGCUUUCAUUUCUUAGUAAAUGAAAACUGCAGCUGGUGGAUUGUGAACAUACAUUCCUGACAUAAUAUAUUACAACAAAUGCACUGCUCUGGCACAUAGCCCAGUGCUAGCAGGGGAUUCAUUUAUUCAGUCAAACACAUCUUACUCACAUCCAGAUUUAUUUUCUUACAGUGCAAACACACCAGAUGGAACUUCUAAAAUGUUGCUUUCUGUAAGUUUAUCAUAUAUGAGUUGUAGUAAUGUGUUUGUUUGCUUGUUUGUUUAACCAUAACCACUAUUUGAAUGAUAUACAAAAGAUAAUAUUAUUUAGUGUUUUCAGAAACAUUGGCAUUGUGUGUGUGUUGGUUGUGGAUUUUGUUUCUAAAAUUGGCUUAGUCCAAUAAAUAAAGAAAAGCAUUAAAGACUUAAAGUGAUGAUAACCAAAUACAAACUUGAUAAGA